GCUCCUAUAGCUCAGUUGGAUAGAGCAACAACCUUCUAAGUUGUGGGUCCCUAGGUUCGAAUCCUGGUGGGAGUACUA
rnacentral:tRNA from 1 species